CAGUGGCGGACGGGUGAGUAACACGUAGGUGACCUGCCCCGAGGCAGGGGAUAACGGCCCGAAAGGGCCGCUAAUACCCAGAAGGAUCGCGAGUCGCAUCGCGAUCAGAGUUACGGCGUCUCGGGAGGGGCCUGCGGCCCAUCAGCUAGUUGGCAGGGUAAUGGCCACCAAGGCGACGACGGGUAGGGGGCCUGAGAGGGUGAUCCCCCACAUUGGCACUGACACACGGGCCAAACUCCUACGGGAGGCAGCAGUGAGGAAUAUUGCGCAAUGAGCGAAAGCUAGACGCAGCAACGCCGCGUGGACGAUGAAGGCCUUCGGGUCGUAAAGUCCUUUUCAGAGGGACGAGUGAGGACGGUACCUCUGGAAUAAGUCACGGCUAACUACGUGCCAGCAGCCGCGGUAAAACGUAGGUGGCGAGCGUUAUCCGGAUUCACUGGGCGUAGAGCGCCUGCAGGCGGUCUUGUAAGUGGGAUGUGAAAUCUCCUGGCUUAACUGGGAGGGGCCAUUCCAUACUGCGGGACUGGAGGGCAGAAGAGGGAAGCGGAAUUCCCGGUGUAGUGGUGAAAUGCGUAGAUAUCGGGAGGAACACCAGUGGCGAAGGCGGCUUCCUGGCCUGCUCCUGACGCUAAGAGGCGAAAGCUAGGGGAGCGAACGGGAUUAGAAACCCCGGUAGUCCUAGCCAUAAACGAUGGAUACUGGGUGUCGGUGGUCCUAACCCCAUCGGUGCCGAAGCCAACGCGUUAAGUAUCCCGCCUGGGGACUACGGCCGCAAGGUUAAAACUCAAAGGAAUUGACGGGGGCCCGCACAAGCAGCGGAGCGUGUGGUUUAAUUCGAUCUACACGAAGAACCUUACCCAGGUUUGACAUGCAGGUAGUAGUGAAGCGAAAGUGGAACGACCCUUCGGGGAGCCUGCACAGGUGCUGCAUGGCUGUCGUCAGCUCGUGCCGUGAGGUGUUGGGUUAAGUCCCCUAACGAGCGCAACCCUCGCCGUCAGUUAUACGUGUCUGGCGGGACUGCCGGUCUAAAACCGGAGGAAGGUGGGGAUGACGUCAAGUCAGCAUGGCCUUUAUAUCUGGGGCUACACACACGCUACAAUGGCCAGUACAAUAGGUUGCCAACCCGCGAGGGGGAGCCAAUCCUAAAAAGCUGGUCUCAGUUCGGAUUGGAGGCUGCAACCCGCCUCCAUGAAGUCGGAGUUGCUAGUAAACGCAGGUCAGCCAUACUGCGUUGAAUACGUUCCCGGGCCUUGUACACACCGCCCGUCACGUCAUGGGAGCUGGUAACACCUGAAGCCGGUGGGCUAACCGCAAGGAAGCAGCCGUCGAGGGUGGGACUGGUGACUGGGACGAAGUCGUAACAAGGUA
rnacentral:rRNA from 1 species